rnacentral:rRNA from 1 species
GACGAACGCUGGCGGCGUGCUUAACACAUGCAAGUCGAACGGAAAGGCCCUGCUUUUGUGGGGUGCUCGAGUGGCGAACGGGUGAGUAACACGUGAGUAACCUGCCCUUUACUUUGGGAUAACUUCAGGAAACUGGGGCUAAUACCGGAUAGGAGCUCCUGCUGCAUGGUGGGGGUUGGAAAGUUUCGGCGGUUGGGGAUGGACUCGCGGCUUAUCAGCUUGUUGGUGGGGUAGUGGCUUACCAAGGCUUUGACGGGUAGCCGGCCUGAGAGGGUUACCGGCCACAUUGGGACUGAGAUACGGACCAGACUCCAACGGGAGGCAGCAGUGGGGAAUAUUGCACAAUGGGCGGAAGCCUGAUGAAGCAACGCCGCGUGCGGGAUGACGGCCUUCGGGUUGUAAACCGCUUUCGCCUGUGACGAAGCGUGAGUGACGGUAAUGGGUAAAGAAGCACCGGCUAACUACGUG